AGGUAAUGGCUCACAAAGGCGACGAUCAGUAGCGGGUCUGAGAGGAUGAUCCGUCACACUGGAACUGAGACACGGUCCAGACUCCUACGGGAGGCAGCAGUGGGGAAUUUUGGACAAUGGGGGAAACCCUGAUCCAGCCAUUCCGCGUGAGUGAAGAAGGCCUUCGGGUUGUAAAGCUCUUUCAGCCGGAACGAAACGGUACGCCUUAAUACGGUGUGCUAAUGACGGUACCGGCAGAAGAAGCACCGGCUAACUACGUGCCAGCAGCCGCGGUAAUACGUAGGGUGCGAGCGUUAAUCGGAAUUACUGGGCGUAAAGCGUGCGCAGGCGGAUUGUUAAGCAAGAUGUGAAAUCCCCGGGCUUAACCUGGGAAUGGCAUUUUGAACUGGCAGUCUAGAGUGUGUCAGAGGGGGGUGGAAUUCCACGUGUAGCAGUGAAAUGCGUAGAUAUGUGGAGGAACACCAAUGGCGAAGGCAGCCCCCUGGGAUAACACUGACGCUCAUGUACGAAAGCGUGGGUAGCAAACAGGAUUAGAUACCCUGGUAGUCCACGCCCUAAACGAAGUCAACUGGUUGUUGGGGGAGUGAAAUCCCUUAGUAACGAAGCUAACGCGUGAAGUUGACCGCCUGGGGAGUACGGUCGCAAGAUUAAAACUCAAAGGAAUUGACGGGGACCCGCACAAGCGGUGGAUGAUGUGGAUUAAUUCGAUGCAACGCGAAAAACCUUACCUACCCUUGACAUGUCCAGAAUCCUGCAGAGAUGCGGGAGUGCCCGAAAGGGAAUUGGAACACAGGUGCUGCAUGGCUGUCGUCAGCUCGUGUCGUGAGAUGUUGGGUUAAGUCCCGCAACGAGCGCAACCCUUAUCAUUAGUUGCUACGCAAGGGCACUCUAAUGAGACUGCCGGUGACAAACCGGAGGAAGGCGGGGAUGACGUCAAGUCCUCAUGGCCCUUAUGGGUAGGGCUUCACACGUCAUACAAUGGUCGGUACAGAGGGUUGCCAGGCCGCGAGGUGGAGCCAAUCCCAGAAAGCCGAUCGUAGUCCGGAUUGUUCUCUGCAACUCGAGAGCAUGAAGUCGGAAUCGCUAGUAAUCGCGGAUCAGAAUGUCGCGGUGAAUACGUUCCCGGGUCUUGUACACACCGCCCGUCACACCAUGGGAGUGGAAUCUGCCAGAAGUAGGUAGCCUAACCGCAAGGAGGGCGCUUACCACGGUGGGUUUCAUGACUGGGGUGAAGUCGUAACAAGGUA
rnacentral:rRNA from 1 species